rnacentral:rRNA from 1 species
UACGGAGGGGGCAAGCGUUAUUCGGAAUUAUUGGGCGUAAAGGGCGCGUAGGCGGCUAGAUGUGUCAAAGGUGAAAUCCCUCGGCUCAACUGAGGAACUGCCUUUGAAACUGUCUGGCUUGAGGCCGGGAGAGGGUAGCGGAAUUCCAGGUGUAGCGGUGAAAUGCGUAGAUAUCUGGAGGAAUACCGGUGGCGAAGGCGGCAUCCUGGACCGGCAUUGACGCUGAGGAGCGAAAGCCAGGGGAGCAAACGGG